GCGGAUGUGGCGGAAUGGCAGACGCCGGGGACUUAAAAUCCCCUACCUUCGGGUGUGCGGGUUCGAGUCCCGCCAUCCGCACCA
rnacentral:tRNA from 1 species